CCUACGGGAGGCAGCAGUGGGGGAUAUUGCACAAUGGGGGAAACCCUGAUGCAGCGACGCCGCGUGAGUGAAGAAGUAUUUCGGUAUGUAAAGCUCUAUCAGCAGGGAAGAAAAUGACAGUACCUGACCAAGAAGCCCCGGCUAACUACGUGCCAGCAGCCGCGGUAUUACGUAGGGGGCAAGCGUUAUCCGGAUUUACUGGGUGUAAAGGGAGGGUAGGCGGUAAUGGAAGUCUGGAGUGAAAGCCAGGGGCCCAACCCCGGGACUGCUUUGGAAACUGUGUAACUGGAGUACGGGAGGGGCAGGCGGAAUGCCGGGGGUAGCGGUGAAAUGCGUAGAUAUCGGGAGGAACCCCGGCGGCGAGGGCGGCCUGCUGGACCAUAACUGCCGUUGAGGCGCGAAAGCGUGGGGAGCAAACAGGAUUAGAUACCCGUGUAGUC
rnacentral:rRNA from 1 species